AGGGUGCCACACCGGAUGUCUUGAGCUGCAUUACUUUCGUAUUUGACAUAGCUGUGAGUAAAAGGCGUAGCUAGUAAACACCACAGCAGACGUCAGAGGCCGAAAACACCGACUGAUUAAACCCGUGUCCCGGUACAUGUAAAGCCUACCGGUGUGUUUGGUUCUCCCGGUGCCGUCCGUGGUUGUCAUAGUGACUGUCAGCCUCCAAAACAGCAGAACCGUCGGGCGUUAGCCAGCCAGCUAACAAGCUAGCAUAGCCAUCAAGCCGUAGCAGCAUCAGUCGCAGCUAGCAUUAGCAUUAGCAGCAGAAGACAAAGAUGAUAGCGCUUAUCAACAAGCUGCUGGACUGGUUCAAGGCGCUCUUCUGGAAGGAGGAGAUGGAGCUGACCCUAGUUGGGCUGCAGUACUCGGGGAAGACGACCUUCGUUAAUGUGAUAGCGUCUGGUCAGUUCAGUGAAGACAUGAUUCCCACAGUCGGAUUCAACAUGAGGAAGAUCACUAAAGGCAACGUCACCAUCAAGUUGUGGGAUAUCGGCGGUCAGCCUCGGUUCAGGAGCAUGUGGGAGCGUUACUGUCGAGGGGUCAGUGCUAUUGUUUACAUGGUGGAUGCAGCGGACCCAGAGAAGAUUGAAGCCUCCAAGAAUGAACUCCACAACCUGCUGGAUAAACCGCAGCUGCAGGGGAUUCCUGUUUUGGUUCUGGGGAAUAAGAGAGACCUACCAGGAGCUUUGGAUGAGAAGGAGCUCAUAGAGAGGAUGAACCUGUCGGCAAUCCAGGACAGAGAGAUCUGCUGCUACUCCAUCUCCUGCAAAGAGAAAGACAACAUUGGCUAAGGUGGAGUCAGAACAACAAAAGAAAACACAUGUAGGAAGAAUGCGACUGUGCGACAAUGACAUCAGUGACAAGACAGGAAAACUGGUGAACAGAACUCAGAGAGCACUGGUGACUUCAAGCUACAUCACUCUUCAGUGGUUGAUCCAACACUCCAGGACUAAGAGGAGUUCCUGAGAAAUGACACGUUCCCAACAGUACAGGCCAAGCCCACCUACCCCAAUACCUCCCAGCUGUCCUCUCUGUCAUCUACCCGUCUUAAUACCACCCAACCCCAGUUACCUGAACCCCUACACCUUUGGAUGCACUGAUACCUCUUUGUUUUUUGAUGAAGUAUCAUAGCAGGUUGAAUACAUCAGAAACCAAAGCAAAGCCUUUUUCCUUAUACAGGCAAACACAUUUAACCUUCCAAAUAGGGGUCAAAAGUUAUCAUGAUGGUUUAUCUUGUGAGAUAUUUAAACACAGAAUUAAGGAUGAUAGUUGAGUUCAAGAGAUCUAAUGUUUGGAUGCUCUUCUAAAUAUUUUUUGGUUAUGUCCUAGUAGAGUAAUCAUUCCAACUCAACAAACAUCAUCUUUGAGGUAGAAAAAAAUGAUGACAACCAAUCAGUACAGUUCCAGUAGAACUUUGCAUUGACAGUCUCACCACUGGGAUAAAUUUACAGUGCAGAACUCAAUUAAUUUUCUUUUUGUUCCUCACAUUGCACACUUCCUUCAACUUGGAAACGGUGAACUCGAACUGAAAACUGCUCAUUAGUAUCCAGAACCUACCUCUCAUCAUCGGCAGUCUGCAGUUUGCAUUGAAAUCGAAGCUGAUGUUGUUUAAACUGCACACAACAGACAGUGUAAGUCAUAGGGGGACUUAAAGAGUGUUGUGAACAUAUCAACUGCUCUGAGAGCUUUCUGCACAUGGCCGCAGAACUUCCCCGUGUGCCCUGAUGCAGCCAAAAUCAGCACAAGGCCAAAAUAGUCCAAACAAACAACCAUUUUGUUUCAUUAGGCAAACUUUGGGCUGCUUGCGUGUGUCUGCAGAAGGAUCUAGAUGGUCUUUUCCUGGUUCUUCAAAGCAUUAUUCAAAGAAGCAUUAUGUAGACUGCCGACCUGUAUUGUUCAUGUAUGAAGGCAGACACAUUAAAACCUGUAAGUACUGUGCAUGAUUGCAUGGUAAAAGACGACUGACAGCAGGAAAAGUGGUAUCUGUGCAUCUUUACAGAUUCGCACAACAGCCGCCAUCUUUACCUAAUUUUAAACGAUCAAAUGUUUUUCAGCCAUUUUUAGUCUUAAUGAUCAGGAGAAACUGUUAUUUUUGAUUAAUGGCCAUAAAGACACAAGUUAAGCAUUAUUAGCUGGUUAAUGGGUGGCUGUUGUGUGCAUCUUUCCUAAAGAUUUCCCAUGAGCCUUUUCAGCCCCCUCCAAAUGCUAUCACCACAAAUCAUUUAUUUCUUCUCGUCUUUCUCCCAUUUUCCCGUUCUACCUCCAUAUCUUCCAUCCUUCGUAUAAUCCUGAGAACCUCCUCUUCGUCCUCCUUCGUCUGUUGCAAACUGCUUCUCCUCCUCUGUAUUCCCUCUCUGGCAAGGACUCCCUUCGUUCUGUCCUUCCUUGUCACCAAGCCCCGCCCCUUGUCGUCUCCCUCUCUCUCUCUCUUGCAGAGCGAGGGGUUAAAUACCUUUUUAUUGCACUGUUAAUUUUGUUUUUUGUAAGAUAUUAAUAAUGAGAAUAAUGUUAAUAAUCUUCUUAUUGUGACAUAACCUGAUCUGUCCAGACUUAAGGAAAUGGUACUUUAACUGAAGAAGUGUUUAUGUUCAUAUCUCUGUGAUAAGCUUUUAUUUUGUAUUUGUUUUUUUGCUUCUUUUUUUUUAUUGUUGUUUUUUUGACUUCAUAAGUCGAGUAUGGUUGUCUAACUAGACUUCAAUGUUUACUGCUCUGAAAUGUCUGCUGAUUGGACAGCGGGGGUCAUGUGAUCACAUGCAGCAAUCACAUCAUGUUGGCCAAAAUGAAACCAUGUAGUUUGCUUGACUUGGAGAAACCCUCACGUAUCAGAUUUUUAUUUUAAAGUUGAUCAACUUCCAAGUUUUUAUACACUUAUUUACCACAUUUCACCUUAAUAAUACCUCACAUCAGAUUUGACAAUGUGUUAUUUGAAAUCACCACAAAAUGGCAUCAUAAAUAUCUCCCAUAUUCGUUCAUCUGACUGCAAAUAUGGAUUAAAAAUUAUUUGUUAUUUUUAUGCACAGAAAGGUCUGAAAAUGAUCAAAUUCCAUCGAAUGAACAUAAACAAAAUUGAACUGAAAUUGGAAAGAACUAAAGUUUUCACCAGAAACUGGACAUAAUUGCCAGUUUUUAUUAUUUUAAAAUCAAAACAAUAUUCCUGUUCACUUUUUUAAUAUCAUGUUCAUAAUUAGAAUUCAGUCAUUAUACAAAUGAACUAAAAUCAGAACAUGGUUUAGAAAGUUAAAAAUUCAGUUUGCUCUUUAGUUUCCAAGUUUUGAUUACACGUUUUGCAAAUGAGUCUUUCACAUUUACUUGCAUAGUUAUUUUUUUUUUUUUGUCUAUUUGGUCAUAGUUUUGCAUAGUAAGUCUUGAAAUCGAUGCUUUUUCUACAAAUCAUGCACACAUCGUUUCUUUUGACUAUUGGGAGCUGUGAACGUCCACAUAAACUCUCUACAGCAAAUGUUUGUAUUUAUAUUGAACACAACAAGAGGACUUUAUUUUGGGUGUUGCUGGUAUCAAAAUGAUGCUACACAGAGAUAUCACUUUACUCUUAUUUGUAUAAUUUAUAUUUAUAUGUUCAGUUGGUGCUCAGCUAGCUGCACUUGACCUCUAGGCUAAUGUUGAACCUUUAGGUGUCUAGGCACAGGGUUGACAACAAGUUAUCACAUAAUUAUGUCAAGUCACAGAAGGUGGUUGGAAGGUCUCUCUCCCAAAAUGGUUUCCAUAACGUAGCACUGGAACACCCUUAACAUUAAUAUUGUUUAGGCAUGUCACGUCACCUGUUUGUCUCAUUUGGAUUUCAUUUUGGUCAACUCCUGUUGGAUCACAUGACAUCCUGGUCCUGGCAGCAGCCAAUCAGACAGGAAAAGGAAGAAGCAUUACCUGUUUGUUCUGUAAUUCGGUUGCUUUGCUCAAAUAUGGUCAGACUGUCAGCAGUGCACACACCUGCUUUACACUGUCGCGACAAACAAGGUUAGUCUGCCUUAAAAUUUUAGGUAAAGAUUAGCCUGUGUUCCUGUGACACAAACAUAUAGAUCUUAAAUGUUGCUGAAAUUGGAAAAAAAAAACAGGAUUCAAACAGCCCUCUUUGCUAACAUUUUCUUGGAAAUCCAGCCAAACCUUUUUUAGAUGCCCUGCUAACAACCAACAACACAAAUUAAUCUCAACACCUCUUUUGUGGCAGUGCAGUCACAGGAGGUCAAGUGGUUCUGUUAAAAGUGCUUGAUUCGUCCAAACAUCAGUUUUAAUUCCAGUCUUAAAUAGCACCUUAAAUGGUGAUUGUUAAGAAUUCUGUUGGCCCAGCUGAAAAUCUCUAGAAUGGAAGUUCCAACAAUAAAAGAUUGUGCUUCCAAGGAACUCCACAGAUCACGUAUGCUUCCGAGAGGUUUGCUUGGUAGACGUAUGACACUGCACUCUUAAAAAUGCCGACUCAGGAAAUCAAGAUUGAAUGUAAGAGGGUGCAAGAUACAUGCUCCCAUGCCAAAAAACAAAGACUGAACUCUAGUUUUUAGCAACUCUGUUCAAAACCCCUGAGAAAAUUAGCUAAGCGCUACCACCAGAAAGCUACACUGGAAGCUUGAGACAGUGCAGCCCUUUGAGGUUGAAUCCAGGCAACUCCAUGCAAAACUUAGAAGAAUGUGAGGUUAAAGUUAUACAGAUAUUAUUACCAGCGGUAUCGCUAAAUCUGCAGUUUGGCCUUUUUUAUCCCGACAGUGUAAAGCUGCCUAUUUCUUAACAACCGCCCAGAGCCAGCGAUCUGAAGGAGCUGUGUUCGUGAGCUGGCAGCCCCAGUAGGUGCAGUAUUUUCCUAACCAACAAACAGUAAGCACAACCAGCGCUAGAAAAGAGAAAACUGAAUCUCCCUCAGCCUCAGAAAGCUCUGUUUGCUCUCCAGCUGCUCCGGGUUCAGGUUCUGGUGUUUUCUGAACCAGACAACAGUUUCUGACUUUGUCCACUCGAGAUCUAUCAAGCCAGCAAAGUCUUUUCUUCUUUUUUUUCUGUUUAGUUAUUGGAGCCAUCAGACAGACUUAUCUGCAGAGGGGAAUUUACAGUAGAGUCUCUCCGUCUUUUACUUUUUAUUUGGGAAAAUGGACAGUCUAUACCUGAACAAUGGAGAUUCAUCGUUUCAGCUCCACCUCGGCUCGUAAACUCUGAGAUUCACCAGCCACGUUGACUAGUUUACCAGCCUGCCAAGAGUCCAUUAAGGCAGAUCAGCACCAUUCAACAACAGCUGUUGGUUCUUUUUUGUCCUUGUUUUUCUGAAUGUGUGAAACUUCAAAUCCCCCUGCAGGUCUGCUCUGAUUGGCUCUGGCCUCUUCUGUUUGCAUGCUAAGGACAGGGAUUAUAUAUCUGUGGGACCUGAUGAUGUAAAUGCAUAUUUUGGUGUAACUUUACCAUAAAAUGGCCUUAAUCCAGUGUGUCAAUUUGAGUAUUAACCAUCAGAAAAGUAAAGCAAGUGCACAAGGGGAAAUGUAGGUAAAACAGUGCAAUAAAGUAUUGACAUGUGCUUAAAUAUUGUGUUUUUAUGACUGAGGAGAAUCACACAAAGCUUGCAGUGCUUUUCCUACAGGUGAAUACACUGGAAUAUGGUCACUGGGAUAGAAAGUUGGACCUGAUUUUUGUUUUUUUGUUGUUUUAUAUAUGGCAGAUAAUCUAGUGUAGACCAGUGAUCCUGCAUGUGCAAAACAAUUGUGCAGGAUGUGUUGUAAAAUGUUUCAUGGUCAUCUUGUGCGCUUACGUUCAGAAAGCUGUCAAGAUUUCUGCAUAAAUCAGCAGCAAAAACCUGAAAAAUCCACACCCUAAAACAUGUAAAUGGUAACAAUGUUGCACUUUUCAAACCAAGCUUUUUGUUAAUCUUUCAAAAAUUACUGCAAAUACUCUCAAUUUUUCGUUAUGUGUGCACCCAGUACUGCAAAUCCUUUUCAUCAGGGUUAUAAUUUUACAUUUUUUUGUAACUUAUUGAUUUAUUAUAAGUGAAACAGCUUUCACACCACUUCAACCACUUUAAGAGUUAACGUUGUAACCUUCAAGAAAGAGAAACGUACCAAAACAAAGUAAACUAAAAUUCAGCGAUGCCCUAAGGUUUUGGUUUUUGGUUUUAAGUGAAGCCGACUCUAAAGAACAAAACCCGAAGCGUCUUAGACUCUGCUCUGAUGCUGACUGGAUUCUUUGUGCUCAUGCUGCUGAUUCUGUUGUUUUGUGUAUCAGAGUUUGCACAUGCAGGAUGAUCACAGUGAGACAGCCUGUCAUUUUGAACCUGUUUGUACAUUAUUGUUUAAUUAAGUUGAUAUAAUGUGUUUUAAUAGAAACAUGCUUGUGUAUGAUACUAAUUAAAAACUAUGGCGAAAUGUGA